rnacentral:lncRNA from 1 species
AAAGAAGACCAAAAAAGAAGGCCUACAAUCUGAAGAAAAAUCAUCCGCCUGAAUACACAUAAAAAUCCCUUCAGAGCUUCGGCCGUUUGGGUAUAGGGAAGACUUCCCCCCUGAUUUCUUAUCUCCGGCAAACACCACCACAACGACCCCCGCUGAAAACAAACAUGAACAGAGAAAUCGAAACCAAAAAUAAUUGAUAACAAAAGUAGUUUGCUGCUUCCUCUUCUCAAUUUGAAUUUUCGUUAUGACGUUAUGGAGUUUGAUUGAGUUAUAAUUGCAUUCGAGUUCGAGCGAGGCAGCCCGGUCACGGAUUCGAUGAGCUUCCGUCGAGGUUCGAUUUAUGAUCGUAGUUCUUUGUUUUUGGUUUGAGAUCUGUCCGGCGUCUGUUGGUUCAAGCUUCAGCUGUUUUUGAAUGUGAGGUUGUAACACUUGCUAGAUUUCUGUCUCGUGUAUCACUGAAUAUUUCAUCAAUCAAAAGUUCGAUUUUCAGUUUCCAUAGUUGCUGAAGUUCUAUUAAUUGAAAAGCAAUUUCUGUUCUUAAAUUUCAUUUUUGCUGCUGGGAUUUGCUGAUUUGGGUCCAUUUUGGAGCUCGCUAGUGAGAUCUGUUCGUAAUUGGGUAUUGAAGUGUCGAGAUCAUCAAGUGAGCUUUGUUGGCGUAGCGUGGUUCAAUUGUGGUUGCUCCACGACGAGUCGAAGCUUUGGAGAUACAUUGUCCAACAUAGUCGUAGAUGUCUGUUCGUUUCAUCUAUGCGACGUUACAGUAACGAUGUGAAUCCACGGUUUGAGACUUGGACUUUUAAAGUCGAUUUAUACUGUUCGUUACUUUGCAACAAGAACGGCUCAUGCUUGCUUCCAGGUUCGUUUUGCACCUUCAUGGUAAAUUAUUGCAUUGACAUGACAAACAUAUCGUGUAUUAAGAGAAUUCCCAGCCGAAUUAAUUGCUAUAUGGUUUCAUGUUGUCUUGUGUCUGUUAAAACGUGAUCGAAUAAUGUGACAUAGUUUCUCCAGCAAAAAACAAGGUGUUAGUAAUUCUCAUAAAUGUUCCUUGCAAAUUCGUUGAUAUCGUUGGCAAGUUUAUGGUUUGAAGUUGUUCUGUUGCUUUUCGAUUGCCAAUACAUUCCGUUGCUUUUCAAAUUGAUUGCUUUUUAAUUCAUUUGUUUGAAUAAGGUGGUUUGAUUACUCUUGUUUCUGAUGGGUCCGUAGAUUAUUGGAGACGAGCCAUAGUAGAUAACAAGUAGUUUUUUUUUUGUUUAAAUACCUUUAAAUAAUAAAUCAGAUGAGCCUCGCUAAACAAAACACACAAAUUGCGGGCCAUCAAUAAAGGUUUUAAAAAUAUUUAAAAAAUCGGGAAGGGCCGUUUAGCGAAUUUCACGGACCUCCCAAAAGAUAAUAACGCACUAGACUCUAUUAGACGCGACUUUAAUAAAUUACAUUACUAAAUACGAGUGAGCAUUUUAUGUGGCCCAAAUCAAAUCCUAAAACGUUGAAUAGAGUGUGCCUAGGAUUGCAGGUUCAUUUGAUGCGGCGUAAUCCGAAAACACACUUUAAACGCCGUUCACUUUCUCUUAAAUAAAUAUUAUAUUAAUAAAAGCAGUUAAAGAUAAAAUUGGCACAUAGGCGUUUCAUGUAUUAAAAUCAGAUUUUAGCCAUUCAUGACAAUUUAAGCGACGUGCUAGAACCACGGGAUCCGAGGAUGCCUAAUACCUUCCCUCGGGUCAACAGAAUUCCUUAUUCAGAAUUUCUAGUUCGCAGACUCCAAUUGGGAAGUCGAACAUUUUCCUCGGAUUGGGAUUCAAGCUAAACUGGUGACUUGGGACACCAAAAUCCAAACCUUUCCCAAGUGGCGACUCUGGAUAAAUAAAUAACCCCGAUCCGAAUAAUGUCACUUUAAAUAGAAACUCCUUUAUGCAUUAUCCUCCGGGGUAGGUGUGUAAAAAGGAGGUGUGAUAGUAGCCUCAUGCAAAAAUGCAGUAUGGAGACAAAGCUUAGUCUCGAAAGGCAGAUAAUAGCCUUAUGCAAUGCAGGAAUGUAAAAUAGCGAAUAGUAGUAGGUUACUAGCUGAUAGAUAGUUUGCGAGAUUAGGACUACUGGGGAGUGCAGAUAGUGACCCUAUGAGGGUUUCCAUCCUAAAGAUCGAAUGUGCUUUGAUCCGUAACCUGAAUUCCUGCAUCCAAAAAAAAUCAUGAGUUCUCUAGGGGAGGGAGGUUAGUUCGUAUCCUUCAGCUGGCGCCAUGUACCAUGGGGGUAGCAUUGCUAAGUGAUGGUGGUGCAAAUGAUAUUUAUGCAUGACUUAGUAAAUAUAAUGCAAGUACGUAUAUAUGAAAGAAAAAAUGAUUUCAUUUUGGAUGAACCAACGACUAUAACGUGGUUCAAGACGCGAAAACCUCGCUUGUUCCGGAAUUUUGAGGGUCCUCCUCAAAAUUCUGCCCCAGUUUAGUGGGCUGGUGCUGCUGACGGAUGUGCUGAACAUCGAACGAGGAUUAAUUCCAGAAUUUUGAGGAUCCUUCUCAAAAUUCCGCCCCAGUUUACUGAGUCGGAGUUGAUGAAAAGACUGUCAAAUGACUAUGAAAUUUUGAGGGUCCUCCUCAAUAUUCUGCCCUAGGGGGGGAAAUGAGAUUUUUAUUAAAAUGUGACCAAUCCCAUAGGGCUGCCUACGUAUCCCCUCUUGAACAGAAAUCAUGCCAGGCGUAGUUCAGAUUACAUCACAAAAGGAAAGCAUAUGAUCAAAUGUAGUAUUUUUUCAUUCUGUCUGAGUUGAUAGGCUUCGACCAUACUUCUCCGUCCAUUUCUGCAAGAAUGAGGUCUCUUCCAGUUAGAUCCGAUGGACCAUGUACGGACCGUGCCAAUUGGGAGAGAAUUGCCCUUUGACUUCAUCUUGAGGGGGAAAUAUUUUCUUUAUUACCAACUGUCCUGGCGUGAAUUUCCUUGUCUUGACUCUCUUGUUGAAGGCUUUGGACAUUCUGUUCUAAUAUAAUUGACCAUGACAGACAUCAUUCAUUCUCUUUCCGUCUAUGAGGGCUAACUACUCGUAGCGACUCUUAACCCAUUCUGCAUCCUCUAAUUCUGCUUCUUGUAUUUGCCUUAGGGAGGGGAUUUCUACCUCGGCGAGAAUGACCACCUCUAUGCCAUAAACCAACAUGUAAGGAGUGGCCUCGGUUGAUGUGCGGACCGUGGUAAGACAACCCAGUAAAGCGAAUGAAAACUUCUCAUGCCACUGUUUGUGCUUUUCAAUUAUCUUAGUAUCUUCUUGAUGUUCUUAUUGUCUGCUUCUACAGCUCCAUUCAUUCGAGGUUUGCAAGCCGUAGAGUUCUUGUGACUAAUUUUGAAUGUUUCGCACAUUGCCUUCAUCAGGUCGCUGUUGAGAUAAGAACCAUUGUCGAUGAUGAUUGAUUCAGGAACCGCGAACCAACAAACCAUAUGAUCUCGGACGAAAUCUGCUACUACUUUCUUCGUGACUGCCUUGUAUGAUGUUGCUUCAACCCAUUUGGUAAAGUAAUCAAUUGCUACUAGGAUGAACCUGUGCCCAUUUGACGCGGUUGGUUCAAUUGGCCCAAUGACAUCCAUUCCCCAAGCAGCGAACGUCCAUUGUGAGCUUGUUGCAGUAAGCUCGUUCGGAGGCACCUUUUAUCAUAUCUGCAUGUAUUUGACAACGGUGGCAUUUUCCGGACGUACUGAAUGCAGUCAGUUUCUAUAGUCAUCCAAAAAUACUCUGCUCGGAGUAUCUUUUUUGCCAAGACA